CUGCCCCCUCAUCUAUUCUAAUCUGCCUUCAAGAGUCCGAAAGCAAAGCCUGCCCCUCCCCCGGCACACAUGGGAGUGCAUUCACGGGCCUCUAAAGGACGAAGCUCUCUGAAUACCUCUGAUUUCCCUGCCCAGGAGCGAAGGGCUUACUUGAGAGUCGACUGGAAAGUUCUGCAGAGAGGCUGGUCAUGCCGCUGGCACGGCCGGGUGAAAUGGGUGUCGCUGGGUGGACAGAGGAAGAGGUGAUGGAUCCCAGUUUGGUUUUAAUGUCCGGGAAAAUAGAACACAACGAUAACCACAAACCCGACAAUGUAAGGACCACAGACCUGCUUGUUCCUGGGCCAACAUUUUAACUUAGAAUCUCCCGGUGAAGAGAUCUCCUGACAUCCUCCCAAUGGUGGAGAGUUUGUCUGAAGGGACGGCACAGACAAGGGAGCUGGCACACACUAAACUCAUCAGACAAGUGCUGCGAUGCAGGUGGAGCCUUGUGCGGUUUUACAGCCGACUGUUCCUGAGGCCCGGAGGUGUCCCGUGAACAAAGGGUCUCACUAACUGCAAUACAAGGAAAAGCAGACAAACCCAUCCUUACGGCAGGAGACUUUAGCACCCUCUUCCAGUCACCGAUAGACCAUGCAAGCAGAAAUUCAGACUCGGCUGACCUGGACAGUAUCAGUUUGACCUACAGAACACCGGUAGGCCGCUCCUUUCUUCUGAGGCACACAGAUCACUCGCUAAGGCAGACUACACUUGAGGCCACAGAAGACUGCUUGGGUUUGAAGGCAUAAUCAUACAAAGUAUUUCCUUAGGCCACAAGGACUUAAACUAAAACCAAACAACACUCUCCCCUCCCCCGAAAAACAAAACAAAACAACAACAAAAACCAGUAACAGAAAUAUUACUUAGAAAUCUUCAAAAAUUGGAGAUUAUCUGGAGAUGCCAUAGCCACCAAAUAAGAGAUCUGAAAAGAUAUGUCGACUGUCAGUUACUUAAUGAAAAUGAAAACACCAACAUUUAGGGACUGGAGACGAGGCAGCUUUGGAAGGGAAAUUUCUGGUUCUGAAAACAUAUUUGAAAGGAAAGCCAGAACGCCAGUAACUAAUGCGUAUGGGGUGAGGAGGGGGAAAGAAUGCCCCACACCCGAGGCAAAGAGAAGUAGCCGUAUCUAAAGUGAUCAAUGAAGCUCACUCCAAUCAGAAGAGUAAAUAAAUGUUCCUGUUUCGAAAA